rnacentral:rRNA from 1 species
UACAGAGGGUGCGAGCGUUAAUCGGAAUUACUGGGCGUAAAGCGCGCGCAGGCGGCUCGUCAAGCCUGACGUGAAAGCCCCCGGCUCAACCGGGGAGGGUCGUCGGGGACUGGCGGGCUUGAGGUCGGCAGGGGUUGGUGGAAUUCCCGGUGUAGUGGUGAAAUGCGUAGAGAUCGGGAGGAACACCCGUGGCGAAGGCGGCCCCCUGGACCGGUACUGACGCUGAGGCGCGAAAGCGUGGGUAGCAAACGGG